GCGCUCUUAGUUCAGUUCGGUAGAACGCUGGUCUCCAAAACCCGAUGUCGUAGGUUCAAAUCCUACAGAGCGUG
rfam:Hordeum vulgare subsp. vulgare, WGS project CAJW01000000 data, contig: morex_contig_1507550